rnacentral:tRNA from 1 species
GGGAAUGUAGCUUAGUGAUAGAGUGCUUGCCUAGCAUGCAUGAAGCCCUGGGUUCAACUCCUCAGUACCA